UCCUCAGUAGCUCAGUGGUAGAGUGGUCGACUAUUAACUGACUAGUUGUAAGUUCAAAUCCUACUUGGAGAG
rnacentral:tRNA from 2 species